CAAGGCGAUCAUUCUCGCGCAGUUUCUGAACCAAAGCUUGAAAUAUGUCAGUCUCCAUUCUGAAGUACCUUUUGCAUAGGUCUUCAUGUCCAUUUAAAAUUUCGUUUACACGCCGUGCGCCUGUAAGUAUUGAAGUGUGCAUAGGUCUUCUUGAGGAAUGAGAGGGUUCUCCUAAAGUAGGAAGAACAAAAAGAGCAAAUUCAUCCUCACUUUUUGAUCUACGACAGUAGCUCGGAUCCAUCGGAUGUUAUGACAAACAAGCCUGUGGAAAAUCAGUGAGUUAUGUCAUGACUUUUCAAGUUUAAAUAUAUCUGCUUAAUUAGUAUAGUUAAGACUUCUAGUAAUUUAUUGGUCAAACAACAAGGCUUAGUUCUGCCAUGCUAGUCACAUCGUGAUCCCAAAUAACUUUGUCAUAUUCUGGAUUUUUUGGGAGAUAACUAAUACAACUUAGUACAGAUCAUUCUACUAUGUCAUGAUAUUAGGACAAUAUUUCUUUUCUUGCCUUUUACCUUUGCAUAUGUGUUUGAAUCAGUUACAGAAUGCAAGAACUAAAAAAAUAUGGCUUCUCAUGCUGAUGAUUGUUGGUGACUUGAUGAUUUUGGGUGGUCGGCUAGGAUGAAAAAUGUAUACGGGGAACAAAAAAGGCCAUGGUGUUCUCGAUUUUCUUGAUAUGGACUAAAUGGCCAGUGGUGGAAACAUGUACAGGGUGAAGAACUAAAGCAACUGGAAUGUAUACAGGGAGAAGAUCUAAAAAAAGCAAAGGAACGUGUACAGGAGAGGAGCUAACCUCAGAUUUGAGAGAAGAUCAAGCAAAUAUGAGGAAACUUCAGCUAUCACCAGCAAAGACUUGCAUGUAACCUGUUCUCGGUUGUAUGAAGUGGAGAUCUUGUAAAGAAGAAACUUUGUGCUUGCGUAUAUAUAUC
rnacentral:lncRNA from 1 species